UCGUUUUAGUUGCACUCAGUCUGUCCAUAUGACAUACACAUGAAGUGAAUGUUUCCUUAUGUUUUCAGGUCUACAAUGUUUAGUACAUGUAAAUAAGGAAAAAAUUUGAUAAAUAUGGUAAAUUAAGUUAUAGCGUGUCAUUUGAUUCUUAUUUUGCUGUCUCUUGUUAUUUAAUUUUCCUAAUGCUCCACAUCUAGGUUCCUUCCUAGGUGGUGGGAACACCUUGCAGACGUGUGUGCACCAGGACACACCGCGGCCCAGGCAGCCACACCGAGAAAGCACACAUCUCCACUGAUGGCAGCCACCCGACUCUCCAGUUAACCUCUUUUACUCUUUAAUUCUGAUUUACUGUGAUGAUUUAAUAAAGUGGAAACACAGCACUUCAGUGCUAUAUGUUUCUCUCAUUCUCAUUAUAGUUUAUAAGAAAAUAAAGUUCACCCUGGCAUCUAAUAAAAAGGUGGCUUUCAUUUUUAUUGGACAGAAUUGUGUGAAAGCAUAUUUUAACCAAAGCCUAAACAUGUAUCCAAAAUGGUAGCUGGUACCAAUGCGGGGAAGCUUACCAACAUGUUUAUGUAAAAUUCACCUCGUUUCCUAACAUGGAAUGCUGAGAUCCAGUCACAAGAGGCUCUGAAUCCAAGCAUCAUGGUUCUAAUCUACUUAAAUCGCUUUCUCUCUUCAUGAUUAAAGGGCUGGGUCAGUAUCACCUGCUACCGCAACGUCCAUCCGAGCCCACAAUGAGCUGUGCCCCUUGCUCCGUCUCUCUCCAGGGCAGCCCCCAUACGAGCCACCCUUCUAGCGGUCAGGAGCCCCUAUCCCUGAUGAGCAGGAGACAGCCUUAGAGGGCUUGUCUGUGUGAGUAAGUGAUAGACAGGGUGUGGUAACAGUCCCCUGGUGGUAUGGCUGAAGCCGGGCUGAUGCCCCCGUCUAAAGACCCCAGCCUUCGCAUGACAGCCUGGCCAGGUGGCCUCUGCCAGCAUCGUGGGCUACUCAUGGGCUAGGCAGCAGUGACCUUUCAGGACAUUGUAUUAGAAGUCUGUAAAAAUCAUCCAUUUGUCCAGUUAGCAAAUAUUUUGAGUACCUAAUACUUACAAAACAUGGCUGUGACCUCACAAAUGGUCUGGAUGCCUUCCUGGGAGUCAGGCAGACCCUAAAUUCAAUGUUUAGCUUUUCACUGAUAACAAGAGCUUGCUUGAUGGUACGUCCUGCUUCUAAUACUUGGUACCUCAUCACAUGAAGCUUGUUGUGGAGUUUUAGAGCUUUGUGGCUUGGACACAGUGGGUCCCAGCCUGUGCGUCAGCAGCGUUGAAGAAUCUGUGUAAGUCAAAUGCAGGUUCCUGUCUGCUACAGACUCUGACCCACCAGGUCUGGGCUAGAACCUCAGCAUCUCCACUUUUUAAAGCUACCCAGAGGACGCUGACCUACAGGUAGAUCUGGGCCAGCCCCAUCAGCGAUGGUCUGGGCAGCAUUCAUCCCCUGCCUGCGCUGAGGGAACAUCAGAGACCACUACCUGCAGGACAGCUCUUUGCUCUACAGCUGCUCCUAGGAGCUGCGUUUCUGCCACUCACUAAUGACUCGGCGUCAUAGGUGGCCCUCAGGACUCCCUGGAUAAUCUCCCUGGAGAUGCCCCCGCCCUGGAUAAUUCAGGGAUACUUCUCAGAUAUGGACAUGGUUAUUUGAAAUUCAAAGGAUAUUGUUCUCAAAGUCUUAAACAGUUUACUUUUUUAUAUCUUUGUUUUUGUUUUCACCAAAUCGUUUUCUCUGCCACACAUUUUAUUUCUUGCAGAAUGAUGAGAGGGUGGGGAGACAUUCUGGUCCAUCAUGCCUCCUGUAAGUGAUCAGGUCACCUUAAAAAAGUACUCAUCAAAUCUUGGGCCAUAUUAGGCCAAACCUUCAGCAGAAUUCCAAAGAACAAUCCAACUUCCAGUGCUUCCAAAAGGACCAUUGUUACAAGGCCCUGACAGGUCUUUUGGGGCUUCUGCUAGGUGCCAGAAUUGAAAGACUAUUUUUAAGGUACACCUAACCAUAGUCAGUGCUUCCAAAAGGACCAUUGUUACAAGACCCUGAUAGGUCUUUUGGGGCUUCUGCUAGGUACCAGAAUUGAAAGAAAGAAUAUUUUUAAGGUACACCUAACCAUAGUCAAGUGGUCUUGACUAUGUCUAAGUGUUUCAGAAAAAAAAGCGCCAGUUAUUUAUGCCUCCUGCAGUGAAGCGUGUCUUCCAGCGAGAGGCUCACACACUGAUAUUUGUUCACUUCAGUACACAUUCAAGCUAGCAUUAUGGUGCCGUGUAUGUGCAGAAACUAAAUUGAGGCCACUUUGGUUUAUUAAACCGUUUAUGUCAAGGGACACUAAUCAUUUGCUCUUUUGUCUAUAUCUGGAAAUGGUUUUAGUUGCAUUUUGUUUUUCAAACCAAAAAGUGAAGGCCGUGGAAAUGGAGCACAAAGUAAACUUUGUCCCUGCAUAUUUGGUUUACUCAAGGCACGGAUCUACAGCUGGAAAGGUCGCCCCCACCCCCACAAUCUGACCACCUUCUACAGGUAUGAAAACUGAGGCCGGAAGACGUUGGCUCACUGAGAUUCACAAGGUCAGAAAGUGAGGCUCCAGGCAGGAGAUGAGUUUCUGGGUUCCCACUUCUUUUUUUUUUUUUUUUUUUUUUCUGAGACGAAGUCUCACUCUGUCGCCCGGGCUGGAGUGCUGUGGCAGGAUCUCGGCUCACCGCAAGCUCCGCCUCCCGGAUUCACGCCAUUCUCCUGCCUCAGCCUCCCGAGCAGCUGGGACUAGAGGCGCCCGCCACCGCGCCAGGCUAAUUUUUUUGUAUUUUUAGUAGAGACGGGGUUUCACUGUGUUAGCCAGGAAGGUGUCGAUCUCCUGACCUCGUGAUCCACCCACCUCGGCCUCCCAAAGUGCUGGGAUCACAGGCGUGAGCCACCGCGCCCGGCCGGUUCCCACUUCUUGAUGUCACCCCCACUUAGCAGCAAUCACCGUUCUUCACCAGUGCAUGGACUGUUUGUUGAAAAUGUAGUUUCCACGUGCAUUUUUGGUCACUGUAAAGGUCCCCUAAUGCCAAGGCUUAGGCCACCCUGACCCUGCUGUCAUAGGGACCAGGCACAACACAGACCAAGGGCUUGGAGUGUGGGAGAACCUGUUUUAACAAGAGACUUACCUACUCUCCCUACACGCAGAGACGAAAACGCUGGAGUUAACCUCUCUCUGGCUCCAGAAGCCAUGGACUGGAACCUCUGGAAAGAAAAAUUGCUCGUCUUCAACUCUGAAAAAUAGACUUUGAGGUAAGAGCAGGUAGCCAAAGCAGGUUUUUCAUGCUUGAUGUGAUGCCCAGGCAGGUCGGCCACGCUCUGGAAGACCAUGGUCUGCUCUCUGCACUCAGACAUCCACACGUUUACCAAGCACUUGCUACAUACAGUUUGGCCAAAAUUGUCUCGUUUCUCUCCUGAAAAUGUUUUCUGUUUCGGGAGUUUGAGACAAUAAAGACAUAUCAAUGUCCUUCCAUGCCACAAGAACCACCUUGAGUGGAGUAGAAUGAGACUCACUUCCGAAACCGAGGUCUGUUCUUAGUCUGCUGCAGAUUCAACCGCACUUUCACCCGCAGAGAACAGCCGGCAGCCCAGCUAGGCAGUGCAUUUCAAACAGCAGUGAUACCCUCUCUGCCCUCGAGGUGCUCUCAGAUCUGCCCCCAACACACACAAACAGCAGUGAUAAAAACAGCAGGAACUCUCCAAAAUGACACUCUUUCUGAAUAAUGAGAAAAAAAUAGCUGGAAUUGGCGAUUGCUUCAUUUUUGUCAUUGUUAGAAUUUUAAGUUAUAAGUAUUUUAAUACCUAAGUGUCCUAAGUUGGACAAGAUGGGGGCAGCGAGACAUUUAUAAUAAGCUGUCACAUCAGGCAGUAUUUGUCUGGAAGAUCUUGUGUUUCACAGAAUGAGAGUGAGAAAGUAGGUCCCAGCUAGCAUCCUCCCUCCGUACCAUGUCAGACAUGGACAGCGCUGAUCGGAUUGUUGUUGUCGUUGUUGCUAUUUAUAUAUCAAGAUAUUCCUACCUCAGAUAUCAGAGAGCAUUACGUAUGUGGUCAAAAUUCUAUUCAAACAUUAUUUUAGGAAAGAAAGAAUAAAUGCAUAAAUUAUCUCUGGGACAAGAGGGCACUUUUUUAUGUGUCAGGUGUCAUUGCUAAUCUUCCAUUUAUGUUCCCCCCACCCCCGUGAAAAUGCUUGUUGAGUUUGACAAGGAAUAUUUUCCAUGAAG
rnacentral:lncRNA from 1 species